ACCAGGAUGGCCGAGAGGUUAAGGCGUUGGACUUAAGAUCCAAUGGGACAAAUGUCCUCGUGGGGUUCGAUCCCCACUCCUGGUA